rnacentral:rRNA from 1 species
UCGGGAAUUUUGGGCAAUGGGGGAAACCCUGACCCAGCAACGCCGCGUGAAGGAUGAAGUAUUUCGGUAUGUAAACUUCGAAAGAAUAGGAAGAAUAAAUGACGGUACUAUUUAUAAGGUCCGGCUAACUACGUGCCAGCAGCCGCGGUAAUACGUAGGGUGCGAGCGUUAAUCGGAAUUACUGGGCGUAAAGCGUGCGCAGGCGGUUUUGUAAGACAGACGUGAAAGCCCCGGGCUUAACCUGGGAACGGCGUUUGUGACUGCAAGACUAGAGUAUGGCAGAGGGGGGUAGAAUUCCACGUGUAGCAGUGAAAUGCGUAGAGAUGUGGAGGAAUACCGAUGGCGAAGGCAGCCCCCUGGACCUGUACUGACGCUCAUGCAC